rnacentral:rRNA from 1 species
CAGUCGCCGCGGGAAUACCGAGGGUGCAAGCGUUAAUCGGAAUUACUGGGCGUAAAGCGCGCGUAGGUGGUUUGUUAAGUUGGAUGUGAAAGCCCCGGGCUCAACCUGGGAACUGCAUCCAAAACUGGCAAGCUAGAGUACGGUAGAGGGUGGUGGAAUUUCCUGUGUAGCGGUGAAAUGCGUAGAUAUAGGAAGGAACACCAGUGGCGAAGGCGACCACCUGGACUGAUACUGACACUGAGGUGCGAAAGCGUGGGGAGCAAACAGGAUUAGAUACCCCAGUAGUCCCUGUCUCUUAUAC